GGCUGUUCCCCUCUGGAGGUUUUUAACCUUCAUACCUAUAGGGCCUCGGUUGUUACCGGAGGCCCUUUUUUUUGCCUUUU
rnacentral:sRNA from 1 species